rnacentral:tRNA from 1 species
GGCAGGGUAGCUCAGUGGUAGAGCAGGAGACUCAUAAGCUCUUGGUCGAGAGUUCAACUCUCUCCCCUGCCA